rnacentral:sRNA from 1 species
AUUGCGCCCCGACUUUAGUGGAGCUCUUUUUUGUGCGGCGGCUUUGCCGCCGCUCAAAAAAAGCGGGAACGGAAGGCGGAAAUUUGG